UUUUUUUUUUUUUUUUAAAUUCUAUAGAAAGAAGCUGUUAUCUUCUUUGGUUUCUCCUGUCACUGAAUAGGAUUAUCUUUUUUUUUUUUUUAAUGUUUUUCUUCACUCUACCAACAGAUAGAUGUAAAAGAAGCAGCAGCGUCUCCUUUAAAGCUGCUUGCUGGAACCAACAUCAGAGAUCCCCACUCUGGGAUGUGAUGUAGAACAAAGAUCCCCUGUGGUGAUGUUUGUGCAACAUCCUGCCCUUUCUGCUAUCAUUGUACACAGUUAUGUGGGUUUUUUGUUUUGGUUUGCUUUUGUAUUUUUAACCUAUAUUAUCAUUCCUAACUGAGGUAUGCAUUGUGUGCUCACUGAGCAGGCGAUGCAGUAGCUAUGGGGGAUUUGGAGUCCAGGAUUUCAUCCAGGUAGUCUAUUAUUUUUGCUCUUGUGCAAGGAUGGAAAAUGUAAGCUGGUACUCCCUGAUGAAAAAAAGGCUUUUCUUACUUUUCUCCCAUCCCAAGGAAAAGAUGAAGGAGAAAGCCUAAGUUUUUCUGUUUGUUUGUUUUCUUGGCUGAGUUGCUCAGCUUUUCAGAGGUGUAGGUCACUAUUCUGCUUUAACUGUGACUUUAUCUUGUGAAACAUGUUUCAGCCCAAGCAGCAGUUAUCUCUUUGCAAUGGCUGCAAAUAAUUAAAUGAGAAACACAGUAUCCUUGAGUUACUUAGCACAGUCCAUGCUGUGUUACGCAGCUAUUAGUUUGAAAAAGAAAAGGCCCAUCCUGACCAAGAUUGCCCAUUUUGGCCCACACCUCUGCCCGUCAAAGGUGCUGAUCUGUAGAGUAGCUUGUGUUGUGUGUCCUGUCUGCAGUGAUGGUGUCUGCAGAGUGCUGAGCAGCUGGAAGGGCUGGCACUGUAUUGUGUCAUUUCCUUUGAGGACAGGGAACCAGUCAACAGAACUCAACUGCCUGCCUGUCUGCUGCCUGCUUUUUUUUCCCCCUCAUAUAUAUAUAUAUAUAUUUUCUUUUAUCCAACUAUAAUCUGUCAGGAGGGAAAUCAUCAGCACCAGCUUCUGUUGUCACAAGACGCAUUUAGGUGUGUGACUUCAGACAAACAAGCAAUAAUAAGGAAUAGUUUACUUUGGAUCACCAGGCUGCAAGGAAGCUGUCCCACAGCCUACAGCUGCACACAGCCUUAGCAGCAUAGGUGUGUGCCUCUGGCUGCUCUGCGUGGCUUUUGUUACCCUGCUUGUCAGCACUGACACCUCAUUGCGAAGCCUGUAGCCCUCUCUGACAGACUGCAAAAUCUGUGUAGUCAGGCAUGGGAUAUCUCUAAAAACCCAUCACAGUGACCUCGAGUGUUCUCUUACACCACUGGCUCUUAAAUGUUUCCCUACCCUCAGUGGCUUUUACAAAGCAGCAUGGUUAAAAUUUUAUUUUCUUAAAUGUCUACUCUGAGCACAGCCAGCUGACAUGCGCAGGGCACAUCUAUCAACUUUUCUAGCUCUUUGUUCUGAGAUGGAGAUGUCAGAUGGGAAGAGAAGUACCAAGGAAUAACAACUCAGGCCUUUCCUGCAUUCUUGGUCCACGUGGGGAAAAAAGGUGAUGUGCAGAUGAACUGGAGUAAAAGACUGUCUUAAAAUAGCAAAGUGCUUGCUAAAACCCAGCAUUUCCAAGGGUUUGGAUGCAGUUGGCACUCACUGUCUUAUCCCUUCGGUUGUGCAAAGCUGAAUCUAGGUUGCACCUAGCAAAUACUCCUAGGUUUUCUGCCCAUCUGAGGGUGCUUUUCUACUGGGGGCCAUUUUCUGACAGCUACUGAUGAACAUGAAUCUGAAUAUGCAGUCAGCAAACUCCUUGUUUUAUAGUGAUGUGACAACGUUUUUUCUUGUGAUUGGAUUUUAUCAUGGUUUUUGACUUUCUUAGAGGAGCAAUUGCUCUUUUAAAAGACUUUCUACACGUUGCUAGGUUCCCUAAAGAGAUCAAAGAUGUUUUUAAUUCACUUUAAAUCUUUCUAUGUUGAGUUCAUUUAAAUGUCUGUUAUAAGCUAUUUUUGUUGUGGUUGCAGGUUGAUAAAAUGCAACUUAGAGAAUGCAUGUGAAUUGCUGCCCCUCAAAAGCAGUGCAGACAAGGGGCUUUAGUAAACUUACACUUGCUGGAAAAGCAUCAAUGUAUUGUGUAACAGAACAUUGGUAUUUUUUGCCAGUGCAACUAAAGACACUUGAAU
ensembl:lncRNA